CCUACGGGUGGCUGCAGUGAGGAAUAUUGGUCAAUGGGCGCGAGCCUGAACCAGCCAAGUCGCGUGCGGGAAGACGGUCCUAUGGAUUGUAAACCUCUUUUGCCGGGGAGUAAAAGACGCCACGCGUGGCGUUCCGAGAGUACCCGAAGAAAAAGCAUCGGCUAACUCCGUGCCAGCAGCCGCGGUAAUACGGAGGAGUCAAGCGUUAUCCGGAUUUAUUGGGUUUAAAGGGUGCGUAGGCGGUGCGAUAAGUUAGAGGUGAAAUCCCGGGGCUCAACUCCGGCACUGCCUCUGAUACUGUAGGGCUAGAGUUUAGUUGCGGUAGGCGGAAUGUAUGGUGUAGCGGUGAAAUGCAUAGAGAUCAUACAGAACACCGAUUGCGAAGGCAGCUUACCAGGCUACUUCUGACGUUGAGGCACGAAGGCGUGGGGAGCAAACAGGAUUAGAUACCCGGGUAGUC
rnacentral:rRNA from 1 species